rnacentral:rRNA from 1 species
UACGUAGGCAGCAAGCGUUGUUCGGAGUUACUGGGCGUAAAGGGCGCGUAGGCGGUCGUGACAAGUCACUUGUGAAAUCUCCGGGCUUAACUCGGAACGGUCAAGUGAUACUGUCGGACUAGAGUACAGAAGGGGCAACUGGAAUUCUCGGUGUAGCGGUGAAAUGCGUAGAUAUCGAGAGGAACACCCGUGGCGAAGGCGGCCCCCUGGGCCGUACCUGACGCUGAGGCGCGAAGGCUAGGGGAGCGAACGGG